rnacentral:rRNA from 1 species
AUUGAACGCUGGCGGCAUGCCUUACACAUGCAAGUCGAACGGUAACAGGUCUUCGGAUGCUGACGAGUGGCGAACGGGUGAGUAAUACAUCGGAACGUGCCUAGUAGUGGGGGAUAACUACUCGAAAGGGUGGCUAAUACCGCAUGAGAUCUACGGAUGAAAGCAGGGGAUCGCAAGACCUUGUGCUACUAGAGCGGCCGAUGGCAGAUUAGGUAGUUGGUGGGAUAAAAGCUUACCAAGCCGACGAUCUGUAGCUGGUCUGAGAGGACGAUCAGCCACACUGGGACAGAGACACGGCCGAGACUCCUACGGGAAGCAGCAGUGGGGAAUUUUGGACAAUGGGCGAAAGCCUGAUCCAGCAAUGCCGCGUGCAGGAUGAAGGCCUUCGGGUUGUAAACUGCUUUUGUACGGAACGAAAAGCCCUGGGUUAAUACCCUGGGGUCAUGACGGUACCGUAAGAAUAAGCACCGGCUAACUACGUGCCAGCAGCCGCAGUAA